AAAACAAGAUUAUGUAGUAUGUAUGUAGGUUCAGACAGGUGUCAAGGAAGAUACUCAACAGAAUCUAUACAUCAGUCCUUAUCUUUCAGCUCCAACUGAAAUUGGAUUCUGGACUACUUCCCCACUUCAACCCUCUCAAUACUUGAGAAAAGGCUUAAUUAGAGCGAAGACUGGGUGGAAGAAUAAAGGCUCAUUAAUCAAGUGGAUACCUCGAACUUUCAGUGGAAAGGAAUCCUGUCAGCAUACAUGGAAAACAGAAGAAAAAGAAAACAUUAUUGAAACACCUCUAUUACUAAGCACAGGCCUGUAAAAACUGUCUAGUCCGUAGGUUAAAGUAUUUCUUCUGACCUUGCCAAUUCCUGCAUUUUCUAGCAGUGUAAAUUAAGAACAACAUUUAGAAAAAUCAUAUCUUGUGCCUCCCAUUAGAGGAAAAAGAUCUCAUAAUAUUUUCACCUCAGUAGGAGGUGAGAUUGAAUAUUAAAAACAAACAGAAAAACAAAAAAGAAAACUAUCACCAAAUUGCACAUAAAAAUUGUACACAAACUUUGUGCUCAGCCUUUCUUCUAAUGUGCAAUUUUUCACAAGAUUCUGCUACUAAUUUACAAAAUGCUAUCUAGAUAUGUGCUUUUAUUGGCAAUUUACAGCCAUAAAUAUAUAUAAACUAUUGAAAAUACUAACUUUAAGUUAAGUAAGUUUUAUUUAUAAUUUAGUGGUAAGCCUUGAAAUUACUAGGAAUUUGGCCAAGACAGAAGUUCAGCUUUACAACAAGAUUACUGUUUUAAUGAAAAUUUUAAAAUAUCUGCUAUACAGCCUUUAUAAUAUAAAACAGCUUGGAUUUUACUUGCAUUCAUUUAAAAGUUCCAGAUCUUUGAAAUUUAAAAGAAAAUAUGGCAGUGCUCAAAACAAGCUUUGUGCAAUGGGGAAAGUACAGCUUCCCUUCAUAUCCCACCUGAUACUACCUCUGAGAGGUUUCCUGCUUAUAAAAAUGGCAGUUCUCACAAACAUAUCUCCUCACUAGUUCAAUAGUUCUAAGGAAGAAAAAACCCAAAGCUAAAACAUUUCUUUAGUGCCACGCCUGGAUUUUAAUGUAUGAUAAAGACCUUAAAAUUAUCAGCUUGUAUGUUCACUUAAUGUUAUUAUGGGUUACCAUAUACUUAAAGUCUGCUAUCAUUUUCACAAAACAAUUUUCUGCCUGGGAUAACAGAUUUUUCAAGAUAAUGUCACUUAUUAUCCAUACUAUGCUUUCCAUUCCUUAGUACAUAUUUCCUUUCUAUUAACUUCUGUUUCUUGAUACAGGAUAGUAAUUUGCAAGACACAUUUCCUGAGUUAAGUACAGGGUUAAAAGUAAGGUUUUACUUAUAAGCAUAUUCUGGAGCGCUUUAAGCAUGUCCUGGGGUGCAUCAGGCACAGCAUCUCCAGCUGGGCAAAGGAGGGCAUUGUCCUGCUCUCCUCUGCACUGGGGCAGUCUCACCUUGAACACUGUGUGCAGUUUUGGGCACCAAAAUAUGAAAGACAUUAAGCUAUUAGAGAGCUUCAAAUGAGGGUCAGGAGGAUGGUGAAGAGCCUGGAGGGGAAGUUGUGUGACGAGUGGCUGAGGCCACUUGGUCUGUUCAGCCUGGAGAAGAGGAGACUGAGGAGAAACCUCAUCACAGUCUGCAAUUUCCUUGUGAGGGGAAGAGGAAGGGAAGAUUUCUUCACUCUCCUGACCAGAGACAGGACCUAAGGGAAUGGCUUGAAGUUGUGUCAGAGGAGGCUUAUACUGGAUAUGAGGAAAAAGUUCUUAACCCGGAGGGUGGUUGAGCACUGGAACAGGUUCCCCAGGGAAGUGGUCACAGCUCCAAGCCUGACAAGAGUUCAAGAAGUGUUUGGACAAUGCUCUCAGCCACAUGGACUCCGUGAUAGCCAGCUUGCAAAAGACCAAGAACAGAAGAUGGUUGUAAAUCUGCACUUAUUUCUGGGCAUUCGAUUCUCCACUUCUGAUAAUUCUUCAAUAACUGGAAAAAGAAAAUAAUGUGGAUGUCAGGUUGCAAAAAAAGGAUUUAAGUUCUUGAACUUUGGAAUAAAGAGAGUGGUGUUUUCAGCUUGUGAUGCACUCAAGAUCCUUACAGAAGGCAUAGUUAACCUACCUGCACACCCAUUAAGGAGUAAAUAUAUGGUUGGAAUACUUCUGACACUUUCCAUGACACAACUACCUUGAUCCUGCAGUACAUCCAUAUGCAAACAAUGAUCUCUUAUGGUGAGUAAACUUGGAAAAUCUACAGUCCAGAGAAGUCAGAAACUAAUAGGUGAAGUCUGUUGGGCAAUGCAGUGUAAACAACACAAAAUUCCAUGGAAACACAGCUUUCAGUUGGCACAUGUGAAUCAAUGCUUUUGCCCUGGGAGGAUUUGGAAAUACUUUCUGUUCCAAAGGUUUAAUGGCUGUCAAUCUUUCAUUUAAAAAAAUAACAAACUCAUAACAAUCUGUGCCUUUGGAUAUUGAAAAUAUGUGUGCUCUGUGGCAAAAAGGCAUACAAAGAGCUGGGGAAAAAAAGAGCCUGCAAGGAGUGAUGUAAAAGACUAAACUCCGAGUAAAAAGAAGGGUUUACUCAUGGUUUUAGAGUAAUUAUAAGUCUGUAGUGAAACUAGUACGCCUGCUAGUAACCUGAGCCUGAUAAUCAUGACAGGGGUGUCCUUUGAAGGAUACUGUUUCCCAAUCGGAGCUGUGACCUUACCGCUCUUACUGUACGGGCGAGUGACUGUACGGCGCUUACCACAGCCUCGGUGUUACCCCACGGACACGGCGCCGAGCCAGCCGCCACGCCGCGCACUGCUGCGGUGCCGCGCCGAAGACACGCGUGACGAGCA